GUCUACAGCCAUACCACCCUGAACACGCCCGAUCUUGUUUGAUUUUGGAAGCUGAGCAGGGUCGAGCCUGGUUAGUACUUGGAUGGGAGAAAUGCUGUCUUUAGCUUGCUGAUGAAC
ensembl:rRNA 5S_rRNA 5S ribosomal RNA